GGGGCUGAUUCUGGAUUCGACGGGAUUUGCGAAACCCAAGGUGCAUGCCGAGGGGCGGUUGGCCUCGUAAAAAGCCGCAAAAAAUAGUCGCAAACGACGAAAACUACGCUUUAGCAGCUUAAUAACCUGCUUAGAGCCCUCUCUCCCUAGCCUCCGCUCUUAGGACGGGGAUCAAGAGAGGUCAAACCCAAAAGAGAUCGCGUGGAAGCCCUGCCUGGGGUUGAAGCGUUAAAACUUAAUCAGGCUAGUUUGUUAGUGGCGUGUCCGUCCGCAGCUGGCAAGCGAAUGUAAAGACUGACUAAGCAUGUAGUACCGAGGAUGUAGGAAUUUCGGACGCGGGUUCAACUCC
rnacentral:tmRNA from 1 species